rnacentral:rRNA from 1 species
UCAAAUUUGAAAUCUGGCCCCUCUGGGGGUCCGAGUUGUAAUUUGCAGAGGAGACUUCGGGUGCGGUCGCGGUCUAAGUCCCCUGGAACGGGGCGUCGGAGAGGGUGAGAAUCCCGUCUGGGACCGUGGACCUGCCCCGUGUGAAGUUCCUUCGACGAGUCGAGUUGUUUGGGAAUGCAGCUCUAAGUGGGUGGUAAAUUUCAUCUAAAGCUAAAUACCGGCGGGAGACCGAUAGCGCACAAGUAGAGUGAUCGAAAGGUUAAAAGCACCUUGAAAAGGGAGUUAAACAGCACGUGAAAUUGUUGAAAGGGAAGCGCUGGCAGCCAGACAGGGACCCGGGGGCUCAGCGGGCAUGCGUGCCCGUGCACUCCCCCGCGGUCCCGGCCAGCAUCGGUUUCGGCGGCCGGUCAAAGGCCCCGGGAAGGUAUCGUCCUCCGGGACGACUUACAGCCCGGGGUGCAAUGCGGCCAGUCGG